UGGGGAAUUUUGGACAAUGGGGGCAACCCUGAUCCAGCAAUGCCGCGUGUGUGAAGAAGGCCUUCGGGUUGUAAAGCACUUUUGUCCGGAAAGAAAUCCUCUGGGUUAAUACCUCGGGGGGAUGACGGUACCGGAAGAAUAAGCACCGCCUAACUACGUGCCAGCAGCCGCGGUAAUACGUAGGGUGCGAGCGUUAAUCGGAAUUACUGGGCGUAAAGCGUGCGCAGGCGGUUCGCUAAGACCGAUGUGAAAUCCCGGGGCUUAACCUGGGAACUGCAUUGGUGACUGGCGAGCUAGAGUGUGGCAGAGGGGGGUAGAAUUCCACGUGUAGCAGUGAAAUGCGUAGAGAUGUGGAGGAAUACCGAUGGCGAAGGCAGCCCCCUGGGCUAACACUGACGCUCAUGCACGAAAGCGUGGGGAGCAAAC
rnacentral:rRNA from 1 species